UAAGCAUAUCAAUAAGCGGAGGAAAAGAAACCAACAGGGAUUGCCUUAGUAACGGCGAGUGAAGCGGCAAAAGCUCAGAUUUGAAAUCUCUUUGUUUUACGAAGCGAAUUGUAAUCUGUAGAAGGCUGAAUGGCUGAAUAUCCUGAUUUAAGUUCUCUGGAAUGGGACAUCAUAGAGGGUGAGAAUCCCGUGAUUUUUCAGGAAAUACGCCACAGAUUCACCUUUCGACGAGUCGAGUUGUUUGGGAAUGCAGCUCUAAAUGGGUGGUAAAUUUCAUCUAAAGCUAAAUACCUGCCAGAGACCGAUAGUGAACAAGUAGAGUGAUCGAAAGAUGAAAAGCACUUUGAAAAGAGAGUUAAAAAGUACGUGAAAUUGUUGAAAGGGAAGCGCUUGCAAUUAGACUUGACAUUCAAGUUCAGCCUGCCUACGGGUUGGUGUAUUUCUUGUUUAUCAGGCCAGCAUCAGUUUGGGGGGUUUCAUAAAGACUUCAGGAACGUAGUAAUCGCCUCGGCGGUCAUGUUAUAGCCUGUCGUGUCAUGAAGUCACCCUAGACUGAGGUCUGCUCUUUGAAAGGAUGCUGGCAUAAUGAUUGUAAGCGACCCGUCUUGAA
rnacentral:rRNA from 1 species